ACGAGUAUGAACAAACAAAACUUUUCACAUAGUGGGGUUUGAGCAAUGAGCUAAGUGGCAAGCAAGAAAGCAAGAGAGAGGAAAGUUAGAGUGAAAAGCUCACACGCUUUCUUCUUGUCAAUUCUAAAUUGGAAAUCCAGUAAUAUUCUUCGGUUGCUGUUUCUGGGGUUUGCUUUAUGUUCUGGCCACUGCCCUCAGCAUAGAUUCCUGUGUGUGUGUGUGUGUGUGUGUGUGUGUCUGAGAGAGAGGAGGGGGGGGAGACCUCUCUCCUAGCUGGGAAGCUUGUGAGCGGAUGAAUGUGCUCUUCUCUGCUAGGAUUCCCUCAAAAAGGCUUUCUGCUUUUGUCUCUAUCCUUACCUUUCCUUUUCACAGAUGCUCUUCUAGGCGGUUUUUAGGUGCAGUAUCCAUACACGCUAUUCAUACACACAGCUUCCUUAUUCACACGUUCUGUAUAAAGGGACAUCACCAUUCUGCAUCUUCUUCAUUGCAAUAUUGCAAUAACUAGGUGGAGUGCUUCCAAGUUCCAACACUUCGCAACAGGGAAAAUGAGCUAUGCACAUUCUCAAAUGGGCUCUGGUAGUAGAACUGCUGGAAGAAGUUUUGAGUUUGGGAAGACACAUGUGGUGAGGCCCAAAGGAAAACACCAAGCUACUAUUGUUUGGCUGCAUGGUCUUGGUGAUAAUGGUUUGAGUUCAUCUCAACUGCUGGAAUCCCUUCCACUGCCAAACAUAAAAUGGAUUUGCCCCACCGC